UCGUAUAAUAGGCAGGUGAUAUAUUAUUAUUGUUAUUAUUACAUUUGAAUCGUUAUAAUAUCGUAAUACUCGGCAAACGGCCAAGCGCAUCGGUCAUUGGUGUAAUGAUAAUUAUUGAUUAUUUAUUCUGUUACAAUCAUACGGAUCGGUACGGACAACGGGUACGCGAACUGACACAUUGAUACGUACUACACGUAUAUUGUAAUUAAACGUAAUCGCAUAUAUAUAUACAUAUAGGUACACGAAAUGAUAAUUUUAAUAUGGAAGUAUAUGGAAUUACACGCGCAACAUUAUUAAUGAUAAUGUUGGUUUUUUUUUUUUUUUUUUUUUUUUUU